AAACCCAACCCUAGUUUACAGGCUUCCCCCUUCCCCCAAAUUGAGAUCACUUCCCACCCAAAACCCUAGUUCUUCACAAUUGAUUCCUCAAUUAAAGAUCAGAAUCUGAGGCAGUUUUAUAUAAAUAUGCGAUUAGAGUGUUGAUUUGGGCAGUAGGUAGGUACCGUUCGAAUACAAACCCUAGAGACCAGCGGGAAAGCGAUCAAGUUGAUGUUUUCAUAUUUCGUGUAGAACUAGACAGACAUAGAGAGGGAUGCAACAUGCUUUUGCGUUUUCGGUUGAAUUUGCUGUUGAUGAUACAAGGACACCUAAUGGUUAUUUGGGGAAUUUGAGGCACAACACCAUCUUCAAUUGGGGAAUCAGUUGCGCUGCGAAGAAUUAGAGUUUUUGGUGGGAAGUCUAUCUCAAUUUGGGGGAAGUAUGUAAACUAUGGUUGGGUUUAUUUAAUAUUGAGGGAAAUGUUCACAGAGAGAAAUGACAUAUCUACCCUCA